AAACCGCUGAGUUCCGGGAGCAGGGUGGAGCCAAGCCAGACGGAGGCCGAGGGUAGAGCGACGGACGGUCCCGUGGGAACGCUGAGGUGGAGCCCGAACUCUAUCUCUGCGGAUCCGGGUGGAGGUGGCGCCAGAGUCUUAUGUUGCUGUUUGCAGUGGUUUCAGAAGUUCUGGAAGUGUCUGUGACAAUCACUGUCUCCUCCACAAUUUCUAGUUUUGGAAGACUACUAGAGAACACAUUACAGUCCGGGAUUAUGGAAAGAAAAGGAAGCCCAUUUAUCUGCUGGAAUGAGAGGAGCAACCUCUGAGGCGGCCCCAAUCCCCUCCCACUCCCAAUACUUCCCAUGCUGGGGUGACAUCUCCAGUGGGGUUCCUAGGCCAUUGCUCACAACCCUCACCUCAGCUUCAGGAGCUGACGCACAGUCUAAAUGAAGUCUUCCUCGAGGCCUCCAAUAUUCCUUUACCUUCAACUUCUGGCUUCUCUGACACCUGGACUGCAUGUCCUUCAUCUCUUUUUUUCCUGAUCCCAGCCUGGAUCUAACUGAUACAUGGAUGGCCUGUUGCUCUACUGCAGCGAUAGGAACAGAAUUCUUUCACUUUGAGAAGCCUAGUUGUUUUAAAAAAAAGGACAGCACAGUUUUUUCAUGCAGCAGGUAUGCAUUUGUCUGACUGCAUUUGCCCCCUGCUCGUGGAGGGCAUGUAGAUAAAGCCAAUGGUCGCCUGCCAUGCAGUCUGCUCCUUGACCUAAGUAAUCCUAGUGUUUCCAGCCAGAGCCCCGAAAGGCCAGGCGGUUAGAACCGCGGGAGGAACCGGGCUGGGUGGGCCAGGCCCGCCAGAGGGCGCUGUCGGCUCGCGGAGCCAGGCGUGGUGGCCCUGGGCCGCGAAGUGCCGUCGCGACGCCACUCAGCUGCCUGGUGACUGCCGAACUACAGUACCCGGUUGCGGUGGAGUGCGGCGAGCCAACCAUCGCCAAGGCGCUCAGCUGAGCAAGGAAGGGAGAAACUACCAAGAUUUGUGACGUUGUUGUUUCAACGUGCCAUCCUUGUGACAAAUAUUUAUAGAGCACAAAGUUGUACCUUUUAUGUCCAAGAUACUGGAGCGUAAAGUAUCGAGAUGAGUCAUACUACAUCUCCCAACUUAAAGACUUUUCAGAGAAGUGGCAGAAUUAAGACAGGCACCAAAUAAGUCCAUUGCAGUGCAGGCAGAGGUCAGGGCUGUAAGCAGGAGGUAGGAGGUAGGGCCAGGAGAGUUCGGGGAGGAGGCCCCAUAGCUUCAGCUAAGGGAAUAAGGAACGGGCCCACGGAGGAUUAGCGUCUUCAAGGAGAGAAGGAUGUGCACCCUACAUCACAUAUUGGUUGCAACAGAUGUUCUGGUUUUGCAUGUAUUAUACAUACCUACAUGACUGUUCUCUGUGACAAAAGACACUAUUCCCUGUCCUGGAGUAUCAUCUCCUUGAUCCUGACAGGUAAAUUAGAAAUAGAAAUGGAUUAAUCCAAUGUCCAGAAUGUCUUAGAGAUAUAUAACUUCAUCUGAACAGUCAGAUCAGUCAUUUUGCUAAUUGAUGAGGUCCAGAGGGAACCUGCAGAAACAGCUGUUACACUUGGUACAGGUAUUAUAAAACCAUAUGCCGAAAAUAUAUCUAAUUGGUGUUAGCAGAGAAGAUGCAAAAAAAAUAGAGAAAUUGAAAAACAGAAACGUCCUUUGGUUUUAAAGACAAAUACCACCAAAACUCUUGUCAAUAACAUAGCCCCUGAGAAUUAUUAUAAGUCUAUAAUAUUGUACUGCACUGAGGCUGGAACCAACAAAUUAAAACAAACCUGGACCUUGGACUUAUAAGGAAUUAAAAUGUAAUUGGAGUUAUUACUGUUAGAUUGUAUUGCAUUGGUUUCAGCAUGGCAAUGUGUAAAAAUUAGUAAAACUAGGAAGUGAGAGAGUUAGUUUUAGACCUGUAAUUAGUGUUUUGGUUAUUAAAAAAAAUUUUUUUCUUGUGUGGCGAAUCAGUUAACUUCUCUAGGGUUCAGUUUCCUCAUUUAAUGGAGGAAUUUAACAGUGAUAAAGGAUAUAGACCCGGUGAUUGCUCAAAUCCUGCAGAGUGUAACAAACAGGUCUGUCUUAGUUCAGUUGUGUCUGCAUGGCUCCUCAGUGCUAACUUGGUUCUGAAGUCGCUUGAAGGACCUGCAUAUCCUGUGAGGUUGGACAAAUUGAGGGAAGGGGAGAAGGAGCUAGUUCUGAUAGGCUGGAUUCUUCCAUGUCAUCUGAAGUCUUCUGCAUGCAGUGGCCCAAACCACUGAUUGUGACCUCUGCAACCUGUAACUUACUACAGCACUUUCUGAUGGUGACAUUUAUCUGUCAUUUACUCAGUGCUACGUUGAGUGAUUUUUCUGCACCACAUAUUUGAGGAUAGGGUUCACGGCAGUCUUCAGUGCUACUCACCAAAUAUUUCAGGCUCCUCGCCCCUGUGGGUGGGAGAAUUUCCCAGCCCCCUUGUGGCUGGGGGAGGGAGGCCACAUGACUUGUUCUAGCCAACAACUAGUAAGCAGAAGUGAUGGUUAGCACUUCCUGUGGACUAUUUAAUUACCUGAGUAAGACCCUUAACAGGUUCCUUUGUUCUCUGCCUGUGACCAGCUGUGUUCCAGAGAGUGACUUUUCUGUUGGCCUGGAUGCAGGAGUGGGAGUGCUGCCGAUGUGGAGCAGAGCUGCCAGCCGACCCACCAUGGACUUACAGCACACUUGAGAAUCGUCUCUGUUAUUUUAAGACCUUGGGAUUUGGGCACUGUUACUAUAGAAGCACGUUCUGUCCCAUCCCGACUAAUAAAGGGUCAUUGUGUGUCAUCAUCUUUGUUUCCCCAGUGCUCCAAAUGACAUGGCACUCAAUACCAACAGCUAAAUAAAUGACUGACUGAAUCGCUCUACUUGUCUCCCUCACUGGAGUAGGAAUCAUCACUAGAUCUACCUGUCCUCCCCAGGGUCCUGGACAUAGCAGGUGUUAGUAAAGACCCAUGCAUUGAUUUCUGUACUUAAAAGUCCCAAGACGAAGCCCAACAUCCAGCAUCAGAACCAGAGACAAUGUGUUAUGUGAUGUUGUUUUCUGUAUGGUGCCUGAGAGAGUGGGGUUCAGGGUGGAGGGAGCCGAGGAAGGAGGGGCCUUAGGCCAUCCCCUGCCUGCAUGCCUCUCGAAGCUCUGUGGUGUU